rnacentral:RNase_P_RNA from 1 species
GGAGCAAUCCAGACGACCGCAGGAUCGGAUUCCGAUCCUGAGGAAAGUCCGAACACCGCAGGGCAGGGUGCUCCAUAACGUGGAGUCGCGGCGACGCGAAGGAAAGUGCAACAGAAAGUAUACCGCCCUGCUUUUUUAGCAGGGUAAGGGUGAAAAGGUGCGGUAAGAGCGCACCAGUUCUCCGGGUGACCGGGGAAGCUUUGUAAACCCCAUCCGGUGCAAGACCAAAUAGGGGAGUGUCUGAGGGCUGCCCGUCCGAGCUCCCGGGUAGGUCGCAUGAGGUGCAGGGCAAUCUGCAUCCUAGAUGAAUGGUCGUCGUCCGUUUUGGGGUAACCCGGAACGGAAACAGAAUUCGGCUUACGGGUUGCUCCGGCC